CCCGCCCAGAGACUGAGAGUGCCCUAUCUGUGUCUUGGCAGGGGAUCAUGAGCAAGCCAGGGCAGGGAAGGAGUGUGUACAAAUGUCCCUGGUACCCACAGUGCUCCCUGACAUGGGACACCUGGCAGGUAUGAAGGAGGAGGAGGCCUGAUGUUGGUCCCGAGAGCCCACUGUCACUAAAGAGCAGAGCACACCACAUACCGCACUGCCAGAAGCCACCAGACACGGGCAGUGUUAGAAAACACCAAGCAUACAAAAAAGGACCCAAGGACCUAGAGCAUCAAGACACAGGAAGAGUCCAGAAGAGGGGGACGUGGGACAAACCGAAACACAGGCACAAGUGCCUCUGGACUACUCUGCAAGGCUGAGUCCGGCCUGGCUUGGACCUCAAAGGGGCUGGACCAAACCAAGGACCCUGCAUCAGGGAACCUUCAGGUGUGGACCUCCAGGAUUCUCCGCCCAGCUCUAGGCCACCUCAGCAUCACAAGGGACACAGGGAUAUGGGCAGAGCCUGAGGCAGCAGGAGGGCCUGGGCUCCUGCCUGUCUGAGGCUCCCCGCCCUCUGUACAGAGCUGGGAGGAAAGCAGCCCUGGCUGCCAAGCCUGUUUCUUCUCCAGAAAAGGCAAAAUCCCUGGGACUCACCAGCCGCCUCUCUGGCUCAGGGCCGACCUUCUCCAGGCCUCCCCAUCGCUCCGCCCCCACAGCAUCUUCCCUAAAAGGGUCCAGCUGCCUGGCUCUGCAGCACGGGUGUGGAGAGUCUGCAGGAAAUGGCUGGGGGCAGGGGACUGCCUAUGACCUCCAUAUUGGAUCCAGGCCUGGAGUGCUGUCAUGCAGAUCCUGCCUACACUUGGAUGGAGCUGCCAGGCCCCAGGGCCCCAAUGCUCAGGUCUGAAGACACCACAGGAGCUCACCUGAUUCACAGACCACAGAACCGGGUCGCAGCUCCAGCAUCAUGCUGUGACGGCGGCGGCCUCUGAGAGGCGUGCAGCAGCGGGAGAGCGAAGUCACCUCCAAGCUAGGAUUCCGGAACCCCUUGCCCCGAGUACCUCGGGCGGGCUCCCGACGGCAGGGAGGCUGGCUCCACGCGGAACAGCACGGGACCUGCAGGCAAGCCCGGAGCGCCUCUCCCGCCCUAGCCGCGCAUCCCAGCUCAAA